AUGCGUGGUGAUGAAGUGACUCAGCCUGCUGCCAUGACAGUCCAGCCAGGUGUUCACAGUGUUGAGCUGACCCAGCCUGCAUCCUCAGUAGUAACCCCUGGUCAGUCACUGACUCUGACCUGUAAAUUGUCUGGAUAUUCAGUAACUGAUGGCUACGAUACAGCCUGGAUACGACAACCUGCAGGAAAAACUCUGGAGUGGAUUGGAAAUAUAUAUGGUGGUAGUGGUAGCACUUACUACAGUGAGAAACUGAAAAGCAGGUUUCAGAUUUCCAGAGACACGUCCAGCAACACAGUAAUAUUAACAGGACAGAACAUGCAGACUGAAGACACAGCUGUGUAUUACUGCGCUCGUAGACCACAGUGA